GAUGAACGCUGGCGGCGUGCCUAAUACAUGCAAGUCGAACGAACAGACGAUGAGCUUGCGCCUCUCACGUUAGCGGCGGGCGGGUGAGUAACACGUGUAUAACCUACCUAUCAGACUGAUAACACUUCGAGAAACCGGAGCUAAUCCCAUAUAAUCUCUUGCACCGCAUGGUUCAAUAGUGAGAGACGGUUUUGCUGUCACUAAUAGCUGCAUCUGCGCCGCAUUAGCUAGUUGUUAAGGUCCCGGCUUACCAAGGCAAGGAUGCGUAGCCGAGGGGCGAGGGUGAUCGGCCACAUUGGAACUGAGACACGGACAAGGCGCCUACGGGAGGGAGCAGUAGGGAAUGUUCCGCAAUGGGCGAAAGCUUGACGGAGCAAGGGGGAGCGAGAUGUGAAGGUGUUCGGAUCGGGAAAAUCUGCUACUAGGGAAGAACAAAUGUGUAAGGAACUAUGGAGGUCGUGACGGUACCUAGUCAGAAAGCCACGGCUAACUACGUG
rnacentral:rRNA from 1 species